rnacentral:rRNA from 1 species
AUGGUCCAUAUACUAUCACUCAUCCACAGCAAAAACGGGACUCUGAGUAGCAUGCCCUACAUACCAGCUGACGUCACAAACCUAAAGGCAAAGUACCAUAGAGAGAGCAAGUUGGCUGACAUAGAGGCCACAAUGGCCUACUUCGAUGAGAAAGCGAAGGAAGAUCCAGAUUUCUUAUACAAGAUAAAGUUGGACGAUGAGGACCGUGUCAGGAACAUGUAUUGGGUGGAUGGUGCUGCAAGGAGA